CACACCUGGGCUCAUUCGGUCAUUAUGUGGACUGGGAGUAAAAUCUAGGAAUGUACCGUUUUUUAACAGACAUUAACCUCUUCAAACACUGUCAUUGUUUGAUAGUUAGAUCUUUACAUACACUUACAUGUUUUUCUGUCUAAAUUGGGAGUAUCAGUGUAAGUUUGUAAAGAUACUGUCAUUUUCUUCUAUUUGCCAAUUUCCAUCAUAUUUGACAUGUUCCCUGACAAUUAAAUUCUGUUUUUAACACAUACACAGAAAGUUCCCACUUGCAUUUUAAACUAAAAGUGAAUUGAAACAACAUAUUUCAUAUUAAUAAUGUUAUCCACAUCAAAAAACACAGGAAGAUAGAAAGUUUCUCUCUAUUUUGUUUUUAUAGUUCUCCUUAGCCUGCUUCCAUUUCCUCUUCAGCUCAUGUUGGACAUGUUUCUUUGUCUCCAUCUUUAAAUGUCUCCUUAUUCUGGUUAAGGACAGCCUUGAUCUCACUACUGAUCCAAGGUUUGUUGUUGACACUGUAGAAGUUGAUGUGAUCAAUGAAACUGUCUUCCUGUCUGUCAAUGUCUUCUCUAGUUGGACAAGUGACAACUUAGAACAUGCAACAUUAGCAUUUGCUCUUGGUUGAAUUAAUAUGACCGGGGUUACACCAUCUCUUGUUUACAAAAAAAACAAGCAAGACGAACGGAUAUGACGGAAGAAAAGAAUCAAAACAGAGCAGCUGAAAGAGGAAAAGAGUCAAAAACAAAAACAAAACCUGUUAGAUCAUCUGGUACGGAUGAGGAAGGUGGGUCUUGCAGGUGUUACUUAUGCUGCUUUUCCAAACAUGAAUCAGAAGUCGAGAUGGAGGAUAUUGUACCUGAAAACAAGUGUUAUCCAGUAAAUCAACUGGCUGCAGAAUCAGGUCUAGAGAAGAAUGAUGAACUCCCAUUGUCAAGUUGUCAAAUCAAGUCUGAGCACGGAGAAAGGUCUGCAGUCUGGGUUUGUCACUCUGUCCCAUCCCUCUCGCCUUGAUGACAGUUUCAGGAUGGAGACGUCCAGAAAAGCUCUCCACCAGACAGCAGUGGCUCCGACUCCUUCACCUCGUUCACCGUAGAUUUUCACUCCUCCCUUAUGACUGAGGUGCUCAGCUUGAGGAGGAGAAGAACAGGAG
rnacentral:lncRNA from 1 species